AUGGCGCAAAAACCUGCUACCCCGACCGCACACCGACUUCCUACUCCGGCGACCCUCCGCUCUACCGGAGUUCGACUUCUCAGUCUACCGUCAUCUAUUUCCGCCGUUCAUUGGUCAAAGGUUUCCUUGAAAAAGCCGUUGUUAGUGCUCAAGAAAGUCAAGCAUAUGGAUGGAGAAAGUUGUAGUGAUGUUGAGUUACAUGUUGUUGGAAUUAUUUGA